rnacentral:rRNA from 1 species
ACGCUCGACACCUACAGGAGGCAGCAGUGGGGAAUAUUGCACAAUGGGGGAAACCCUGAUGCAGCGACGCCGCGUGAGCGAAGAAGUAUUUCGGUAUGUAAAGCUCUAUCAGCAGGGAAGAAGAAAGACGGUACCUGACUAAGAAGCCCCGGCUAACUACGUGCCAGCAGCCGCGGUAAUCUGGAGGCGGGCUGGCAAGGC